CGGCGAGUGAGCGGCAAAAGCUCAAAUUUGAAAUCUGGUACCUUCGGUGCCCGAGUUGUAAUUUGGAGAGGGCAACUUUGGGGCCGUUCCUUGUCUAUGUUCCUUGGAACAGGACGUCAUAGAGGGUGAGAAUCCCGUGUGGCGAGGAGUGCGGUUCUUUGUAAAGUGCCUUCGAAGAGUCGAGUUGUUUGGGAAUGCAGCUCUAAGUGGGUGGUAAAUUCCAUCUAAAGCUAAAUAUUGGCGAGAGACCGAUAGCGAACAAGUACAGUGAUGGAAAGAUGAAAAGAACUUUGAAAAGAGAGUGAAAAAGUACGUGAAAUUGUUGAAAGGGAAGGGCAUUUGAUCAGACAUGGUGUUUUGUGCCCUCUGCUCCUUGUGGGUAGGGGAAUCUCGCAUUUCACUGGGCCAGCAUCAGUUUUGGUGGCAGGAUAAAUCCAUAGGAAUGUAGCUUGCCUCGGUAAGUAUUAUAGCCUGUGGGAAUACUGCCAGCUGGGACUGAGGACUGCGACGUAAGUCAAGGAUGCUGGCAUAAUGGUUAUAUGCCGCCCGUCUUGAACC
rnacentral:rRNA from 1 species